AGGAUAAACGCUGGCGGCGUGCCUUACGCAUGCAAGUCGAACGAGGGCGGGCUUCGGCCCGUUCCUAGUGGCGGACGGGUGAGUAACGCGUAAGUGACCUGCCCAGAAGUGGGGGAUAACCAGCCGAAAGGUUGGCUAAUACCGCAUACGCUCACCGAUUCAUUUGGGUGAGCAAAGCCGCAAGGCGCUUUUGGAGGGGCUUGCGUCCGAUUAGCUUGUUGGUGGGGUAAUGGCCUACCAAGGCGACUAUCGGUAGCUGGUCUGAGAGGACGGCCAGCCACACUGGGACUGAGAUACGGCCCAGACUCCUACGGGAGGCAGCAGCGAGGAAUUUUGCGCAAUGGGCGAAAGCCUGACGCAGCAACGCCGCGUGGAGGAAGAAGGCCCUCGGGUCGUAAACUCCUUUUGCGGGGGAAGAAGUAUGACGGUACCCCGCGAAUAAGCCACGGCUAACUACGUGCCAGCAGCCGC
rnacentral:rRNA from 1 species